rnacentral:rRNA from 1 species
GACGAACGCUGGCGGCGUGCUUAACACAUGCAAGUCGAACGGAAAGGCCCUGCUUUUGUGGGGUGCUCGAUUGGCGAACGGGUGAGUAACACGUGAGUAACCUGCCCUUGACUUUGGGAUAACUUCAGGAAACUGGGGCUAAUACCGGAUAGGAGCUCCUGCUGCAUGGUGGGGGUUGGAAAGUUUCGGCGGUUGGGGAUGGACUCGCGGCUUAUCAGCUUGUUGGUGGGGUAGUGGCUUACCAAGGCUUUGACGGGUAGCCGGCCUGAGAGGGUGACCGGCCACAUUGGGACUGAGGUACGGCCCAGACUCCUACGGGAGGCAGCAGUGGGGAAUAUUGCACAAUGGGCGGAAGCCUGAUGCAGCAACGCCGCGUGCGGGAUGACGGCCUUCGGGUUGUAAACCGCUUUCGCCUGUGACGAAGCGUGAGUGACGGUAAUGGGUAAAGAAGCACCGGCUAACUACGUG